AUUGAACGCUGGCGGCAUGCUUUACACAUGCAAGUCGAGCGGUAACAGGCCUUCGGGUGCUGACGAGUGGCGAACGGGUGAGUAAUGCAUCGGAACGUACCCAGACGUGGGGGAUAACGCAGCGAAAGCUGUGCUAAUACCGCAUGUGAUCUGAGGAUGAAAGCGGGGGACCGAGCAGCAAUGUUUGGCCUCGCGCCUUUGGAGCGGCCGAUGUCGGAGUAGCUAGUUGGUGGGGUAAAGGCCUACCAAGGCGACGAUCCGUAGCUGGUCUGAGAGGACGACCAGCCACACUGGGACUGAGACACGGCCCAGACUCCUACGGGAGGCAGCAGUGGGGAAUUUUGGACAAUGGGCGCAAGCCUGAUCCAGCAAUGCCGCGUGCGGGAAGAAGGCCUUCGGGUUGUAAACCGCUUUUGGCAGGAACGAAACGGUGUCCGCUAAUACCGGGCGCUAAUGACGGUACCUGCAGAAUAAGCACCGGCUAACUACGUG
rnacentral:rRNA from 1 species